ACGUGAUAUUCCUCACCACGGACCAAACUGUCGGUGACUGGGUGAUGGGGGAAGUGACGGGGGACUGGCUCACCCUUACCGUCCAUGGACUGACGCCUUCAAGGAAGUAUUUGCACAAGAUGCACUCUCACAAUGUCAAAGGUUUUGGUCCAUUCUCCUCCGUGGAAAGCUUCACGACUUCCAGCUGUUGACAAGAGCAUCGGUGAGCCCCCUGGCUGGUGUGUGGAGCGAGAGGCCUGAUUGUGCUGGUGAUCGCUGGCGUGGCAGGAGCCAUGACCAGCUGGGGGCCUUCUUGGCCACCACACUGUACUGCCGCGGGUCAAGGCGGAGCCCAGGCCAAGCAUUGUUGUUGGCGGCAGCUGCAGUGAGAGCAACAAGCCUGGCGUCCAGCCUCCAGACCUGUGGAUCCAUCACGGCCACUUGGAGCUGAAGAACUUUGACAAGGGUGAGCGCAGCAACUCCCCCAACCACGCCUCCAUCAUCCAGCACACAGGAGUCGCGUCACAUCACAAUGGGACCAAAAAAGGACGAGAAGGGACAAGACAAGAAGAAAAGGUCUUCUGCUGCUGCUGCCUCUCCUGAUGAUGAUGAGCAACAAGGAGACACACAAGAACAACCUGCCAAGAAAGUGAAGGGACGAUCCAAGAAGAGGUCAUCGUCUGCUACCGGGGAGACACCCCCUCCUCCAGCCCUCUUGCGUCACCAAUCCACUUGGACACAGAGCCCCAACCUGGUCAUGAUGAUGCUGGGUGUGUCUUUUGCUCAAAAUCGGGAGCAAAUUCUUGGAGGAGAUUUGAAACUCGUAGUAGAUCCGGAGUUAUCGGUGUAGUUCGUCGUACAUUGUAGUACUUCGUACUUACAAAUCGGGACAGUUGGUGUGGUUCGUGAUACUUCGUAGUACUUCGGCUCCAAAACUCGGCGUACUUCGGGAGAAAAUCAGGGUGAAAUCAUAGUACAUCGUAGCAUAUUGUAGUACGUCGUAGCACUUUGGGAAAUAAUUCGGUGUACUUCGGGGAAUAUGCCCUCGAGGUUGACCGAACGCCUCGAGAUGAAAAGAUAAACAAAUUUUCGUAGUGAUUCGGGGAAAACGCUGUCUCCCGAGGUACUACGAUUUUUUUGUGAUUCGGCGUCUGUGAGACCGGGGGGGGCGCGGCAGGUCCCUGGUACCCCCGCCUGGUUCAUGGCCGCCUCGCACAAGACCAAGGUUGUCGCAAAGAACAUAUCCAGAAUUGCACUCAUUUCCGAGGAGGCGACGAAAUACACGGCACAACAUCCUCCUCCUCCUCCUCCUCCUCCUCCCCCUCCUCUUUCUCCUCCUCCUCCUCCUCUUCUUCCUCCUCCUCCUCCUCUCCACCCCCUCCUUCUCUUAUUCCUCUUCCUUCUUCUCAAAUUCACUCAUGCUAACCAACAGUCCUCCUCCUCCUCCUCCUCCACCUCCUCCUCCUCCUCCUCCUCCUCCUCCUCCUCCUUCUCCUCUUCACCCCCUCCUCCUCUUAUUCCUCUUUCUUCUUCUCAAAUUCACUCAUGCUAACCAACCCUCCUCCUCCUCCUCCUCCUCCUCCUUCUCCUCCUCCUCCUC